CAUAGCAGUUUGAUUUCCCCAGUAAUUUCCCGACAUUUUUUUUAGUUUCACAGGAUAAUUUCCAAGUUGUUGCUAUUGACCGCCGUCAUGGUCGUGGCCCUGGCCAAUGCAUAUGUCUAUUGGGAGCAGAUGGAGCCCGAGAUACUUCUUUCCGAUCUGCGGGAUACAAUUCUGGACUUCUUUGGAGGGGUCCUCGAAAAUCUGAAGGCGACUCUGGAGUUGGGCAAGAAAAUGAUGGACCACGCCAGCAAGUUUCUAGACAGAAUGGUUGGCCGGAUCGGAGGAGUCGGUUGUUGGAUGUUUUCCUGGAAAGUGUGCUUAACUUAUAUUUUUAUACCCGGUACUCGAAGAGUAAAUAGGGUAUAUUGUAUUUGUGGGGAAUAACGGUUGUAUGUAACGCACAGAAGGAAACAUUUCCGACCCCAUAAAGUAUAUAUAUUCUUGCUCAGCAUCAAUAGCCGAGUCGAUAGAGCCAUGUCCGUCUGUCCGUCAUGUUUGUCGGCUAGUUCUCAGAGACUAUUAGGGAUAAAGCC
rnacentral:lncRNA from 1 species